UUAGCUUGUUGGUGUGGUAAUGGCGCACCAAGGCUCUGACGGGUAGGUGGACUGAGAGGUUGGUCACCCACACUGGGACUGAGACACUGCCCAGACUCCUACGGGAGGCUGCAGUCGAGAAUCUUCCGCAAUGGGCGCAAGCCUGACGGAGCGAUGCCGCGUGAGGGAAGAAUGUCUUCGGAUUGUAAACCUCUGUCACCUGGGACGAAUUUUGACGGUACCAGGAGAGGAAGUCACGGCUAACUACGUGCCAGCAGCCGCGGUAACACGUAGGUGGCGAGCGUUAUUCGGAUUUACUGGGCGUAAAGGGUCCGCAGGGGGCCUGCCAAGUCUGUCGUGAAAUUCCGGGGCUCAACCCCGGGACUGCGCUGGAAACUGGUGGGCUUGAGUAUGUGAUGGGUAGACGGAACACCUGGUGUAGCGGUGGAAUGCGUAGAUAUCAGGUGGAACACCGAUGGCGAAGGCGGUCUACUGGCACAUUACUGACCCUCAUGGACGAAAGCGUGGGUAGCAAACAGGAUUAGAUACCCUGGUAGUCCACGCCGUAAACUUUGAGAACUAGAUAUGGUGAGGCUGGCCCUCUCCGUGUCCCAGCUAAC
rnacentral:rRNA from 1 species